GCCAGCAUGGCAUAGUGGUUGAGUGUUGGACUACAACUCUGGAGACCAGGUUUCAAUUCCCAGCUUGGCC
rnacentral:tRNA from 1 species